GAAAAUACCUUUGCAGCAAUAUAGGCUACUGUUAACAAACAUCCAGAGCGACGUUUAGAAUAGAUGAAUAUGUAAAUAUAUGCUGCGCACUUUCUUCUCAAUAACAAAAUAAACAACAAAAAUGACAGCGGUGAGUUCAGAAAUUAUCUGAUCAUAGCGAUGUGGAUAUGUUUGCAGCAGCUCUGUGAUUCACUGGCACCAUGUCGACAGAUGAGAUCUACAGUGAGCAGCUAAUGAGGAUUGUUUGUUUACCUGGACCAGAUCUUCAGGGAGCUGCUUGCUGUUUUCUGAGACUCGGAUUGGUGGAAUGACCCAGUCUCUCUUCACCCUGACCUGUGGACCUGCUCUCCUGUGUCUCCAUGGGUUCAGCACAGCUGGGUUCAGAUCGCUCUGCUUCACCUGACCGCUGCUGACCUGCAACAGAACACAUUCAGUGAUCAGAAUCUGAUGCUCUUCUGCGGCAUUCACGCACAAUCUACAGCAGAUUUUAGGGGCUGUUUACACCACUGGUUCUCAGCUGGUUUGGCCAUGGGACCCACAUUUCUCCAUGGUCAUGAAGCCGUGACCCAAAUUAAGGAAUUUGAACCAAGCUAAUUUAUUUCUCAAAAAUGGUUGACAUGCACACAAGUACCGUCCUUCUUAACAUAAACAUAAAUUCGAAGAAUAUCACUAAGAGUGAUGAAUAACAGUAUAAAGUAUGGCUAUUAUUACUAGUCUUUCAAAAUAAAAGUUUCAGAAAAAAACAUUUACAAUUAAUUAUUUUUAUUGUUGUUGUUGUUUCUUUUUGACCACACACUCUGCGAACCACUCAAAACGGUCUUGCGACCCACUUUUGGUUUGCAGUAAUGUGGCAUUUUUAGUCGUUUUGACAAAGUUGUCGUCCGUACGCGAAAAUUUUCAGUAAUGCAAGGUAAAAACUUCCAUUUUUAAGUACAUCGUUGUCGUGUAAAUGUACUCUUAUGCAUCUGUAUAUUUUCUAUGCCAAUAACAUCAUUUAAUUGCAAAAACAAUGCCCCUGCUGACUGAUGACAUAAAAAGCAAUAUUUCUCCAUUGAGGACUCAAAAGGUGCUGUUUAUUCUGACUAAACUAAGUAUUUUGCAAGCAAGUGUUAGAGACUUCAAUAUUUAGCAUUCAUACAUGGAAAUAUUACAUUAUAAAUUUUCAUUUUAUUUAAUUCAGCUUUCCCUUGUGAAAAAGAAGUGUGCUUAAGUGUAUUGAAUGUGCAUCUCUAAUGUACUUUAAAUCUUAAAUGUAUAUUUUUACAAAACUGCACUUCAUUCAUUAAAUAAAUCAGUGUACAUAAAGAGA